UACGGGGGGGGCAAGCGUUGUUCGGAAUUACUGGGCGUAAAGGGCUCGUAGGCGGCCAACUAAGUCAGACGUGAAAUCCCCCGGCUUAACCUGGGAACUGCGUCUGAUACUGGAUGGCUUGAGUUUGGGAGAGGGACGCGGAAUUCCAGGUGUAGCGGUGAAAUGCGUAGAUAUCUGGAGGAACACCGGUGGCGAAGGCGGCGUCCUGGACCAACACUGACACUGAGGAGCGAAAGCCAGGGGAGCAAACGGG
rnacentral:rRNA from 1 species